GAAGCAGAGGCCGGCAUGACCACGGAGCAGCGGCGCAGCCUGCUAGCCUUCCAGGAUUAUAUCCGGAAGACCCUGGACCCUACCUAUAUCCUGAGCUACAUGGCCCCCUGGUUUAGGGAGGAAGAGGUGCAGUGUAUUCAGGCUGAGAAAAACAACAAGGGCCCCAUGGAGGCUGCCACACUUUUUCUCAAGUUCCUGUUGGAGCUCCAGGAGGAAGGCUGGUUCCGUGGCUUUUUGGAUGCCCUAGACCAUGCAGGUUAUUCUGGACUUUAUGAAGCCAUUGAAAGUUGGGAUUUCAAAAAAAUUGAAAAGUUGGAGGAGUAUAGAUUACUUUUAAAACGUUUACAACCAGAAUUUAAAACCAGAAUUAUUCCAACAGAUAUCCUUUCUGAUCUGUCUGAAUGUUUAAUUAAUCAGGAAUGUGAAGAAAUUCUACAGAUUUGCUCCACUAAGGGGAUGAUGGCAGGUGCAGAGAAAUUGGUGGAAUGCCUUCUCAGAUCAGACAAGGAGAACUGGCCCAAAACUUUGAAACUUGCUUUGGAGAGAGAGAGGAACAAGUUCAGUGAACUGUGGACUGUAGAGAACGGUAUAAAAGAUGUUGAAACAGAAGAUCUCGAGGAUAAGAUGGAAACUUCUGACAUACAGAUUUUCUACCAAGAAGAUCCAGAAUGCCAGAAUCUUAGUGAGAAUUCAUGUCCACCUUCAGAAGUGUCUGAUACAAACUUGUACAGCCCAUUUAAACCAAAAAAUUACCAAUUAGAGCUUGCUUUACCUGCUAAGAAAGGAAAAAACACAAUAAUAUGUGCUCCUACAGGUUCUGGAAAAACCCUGGUUUCAAUCCUUAUAUGUGAACAUCAUCUUAAAAAAUUCCCACAAGGACAAAAGGGAAAAGUUGUCUUUUUUGCAAAUCAGAUCCCACUAUAUGAACAGCAGGAAUCUAUAUUCUCAAAAUACUUUGAAAGACUUGGGUAUAGAGUUACAGGUAUUUCUGGAGCAACAGCUGAGAAUGUACCGGUGGAACAGAUUGUUGAGAACAAUGACAUCAUCAUUUUAACUCCGCAGAUUCUUGUGAAUAACCUUAAAAAGGGAACGAUUCCAUCACUGUCCGUCUUUACUUUGAUGAUAUUUGAUGAAUGCCACAACACCAGUAAACAACACCCAUACAAUAUGAUCAUGUUUAAUUAUCUAGAUCAGAAACUUGGAGGAUCUUCAGGCCCACUACCCCAGGUCGUUGGGCUGACUGCCUCGGUUGGUGUUGGGGAUGCUAAAGACACAGAUGAAGCCUUGGAUUAUAUCUGCAAGCUGUGUGCUUCUCUUGAUGCAUCAGUGAUAGCAACAGUCAAAGACAACCUGGAGGAACUGGAGCAAGUUGUUUAUAAGCCCCAGAAGUUUUUCAGGAAAGUGGAAUCACGGAUUAGCGACAAAUUUAAAUGCAUCAUAGCUCAGCUGAUGAGGGACACAGAGAGUCUGGCGAAGAGAAUCUGCAAAGACCUCGAAAACUUUUCUCAAAUUCAAAAUAGGGAAUUUGGAACACAGAAAUAUGAACAAUGGAUUGUUACAGUUCAGAAAGCAUGCAUGGUGUUCCAGAUGCCAGACAAAGAUGAAGAGAGCAGGAUUUGUAAAGCCCUGUUUUUAUACACUUCACAUUUGCGGAAAUAUAAUGAUGCCCUCAUUAUCAGUGAGCAUGCACGAAUUAAAGAUGCUUUGGAUUACUUGAAAGACUUCUUCAGCAAUGUCCGAGCAGCAGGAUUCGAUGAAAUUGAGCAAGAUCUUACUCAGAGAUUUGAAGAAAAGCUGCAGGAACUAGAAAGUGUUUCCAGGGAUCCCAGCAAUGAGAACCCUAAACUUGAAGACCUCCGCUUCAUCUUACAAGAAGAGUACCACUUAAACCCGGAGACCAUAACAAUUCUCUUUGUGAAAACCAGAGCACUUGUGGAUGCUUUAAAAAAUUGGAUUGAAGGAAAUCCUAAACUCAGUUUUCUAAAACCUGGCAUAUUGACUGGACGCGGCAAAACAAAUCAGAACACAGGAAUGACCCUCCCAGCACAGAAGUGUAUAUUGGAUGCAUUCAAAGUCAAUGGAGAUCACAAUAUUCUGAUUGCCACCUCAGUUGCUGAUGAAGGCAUUGACAUUGCACAGUGCAAUCUUGUCAUCCUGUAUGAGUAUGUGGGCAAUGUCAUCAAAAUGAUCCAAACCAGAGGCAGAGGAAGAGCAAGAGGUAGCAAGUGCUUCCUUCUGACUAGUAAUGCUGGUGUAAUUGAAAAAGAACAAAUAAACAUGUACAAAGAAAAAAUGAUGAAUGACUCUAUUUUACGCCUUCAGACAUGGGACGAAGCAGUAUUUAGGGAAAUGAUUCUGCAUAUACAGACUCAUGAAAAAUUAAUCAGAGAUAGUCAAGAAAAACCAAAACCUGUACCUGAUAAGGAAAAUAAAAAACUGCUGUGCGGAAAGUGCAAAGCCUUGGUAUGUUACACAGCUGACAUAAGAGUGAUAGAGGAAUGCCAUUACACUGUGCUUGGAGAUGCUUUUAAGGAAUGCUUUGUGAGUAGACCACAUCCCAAGCCAAAGAAGUUUCCAAAUUUUGAAAAAAGAGCAAAGAUAUUCUGUGCCCGACAGAACUGCAGCCAUGACUGGGGAAUCCAUGUGAAGUACAAGACAUUUGAGAUUCCAGUUAUAAAAAUUGAAAGUUUUGUGGUAGAGGAUAUUGCAACUGGAGUUCAGACACUGUACUCGAAGUGGAAGGACUUUCAUUUUGAGAAGAUACCAUUUGAUCCAGCAGAAAUGUCCAAAUGAUAUCAGGGCCUCAAUCUUCAGCUACAGGGAAUGAGUAACUGUGAGUGGAGAAGAAACAAAUGUAACCAAAGGCCACAUUUUAGAAACAACUGGGGAAUCUUCUUCAUGGACACAUGCCCAGCUCCAUUAGAGCAUCCUGGCAGGGUGUCCAGCAUGUACAUGUUUUGAAGCUCCUGUGGUUGAGACACCACCUGUUAUACAACCACCACCUUGUUAUCUCUGCGGUCCAGACCUGUGCUGAUGCUGUGAUAUUUUCACCCUGAAAUGAAGACUCAUCUCAACAUCAAGGGAAUACUGAGAGACAAAUCUCCAAGAUCACAAAUUAUUAAUGGUUGCCCCAGAACUGCUGGUGGCCAUAUCCCCUGGCAUAUGGAAGGGCCCAGAAGAGGCCACUCUACUGCAGAGGCCAAUAGAAGGUCCAUUAACUCGGCCUCUGGAGGAAUGCAUUUAACACAAUGCCUGCCAAGCUCCCUAACACCAUCUCCCAUGGAGCACCUUGUGGAGGGUGCAGUGUGUGAACAUCACACCCACAUCACCCUUUCCCACAGACAGUUCUACUCUCGUUUAAACCACCAGCCGCAGUCAGAAGCCCUUGGGUCAGCUGAAUGCAGAAGGCGGGAAAAGGAAUAAUAUCCAAGACUCUCAGAAUAUAAUGCUGAGCCCCAUACAUCUCCUCCUAUUUGUAAAAUGUACGGAAAGUUUGAUUUUAGUAGCUUGGUACUUCCUACUGAGUGGCCUUAAUUUUUUUUAAGUGUGCAAAAAUGCAUUCUGAGAGGUGCAUUCAACCAAUGGACUCCACUUAGUGACACAAUAAGUGACCACCAGGGGUCCUCGCCACAGCUGACACACAACCCAGGGUGUCCGACACAGGGGUGGGGUUUUGGAGAGCUGAACCUGAGGCCUUUCUUCUCUAGGCUGUCACUGACUUGUCCAAAUCUGGGAACAUUUGGGGGAGGUGGAGUUUGUAAAAAUGCGAGUCACAGAAGAAAAAUGACGGAGAACCCCCUCCCCAGUUAUCUGAAGAAAUAAAUGUUACUUUAUAUAGUUGAUACUCCCAUUAGCCUUGAGGUCUGCAGACAGGACACAAAGGGAGCAGCUUUCCCUUAGAUCCUCGGGUGGUGAGGGCAGUGUAGGAACUCACCUCUAUUUUCUGAUAGACUUCCUUAAACAUCCCCGGGAUGACAUACUGACGCUCCACUGCCUGGAUCUCAUCUCUAGUCGGCCAGAUAUCUUUCAGAAAUACCUGCUGUCCCUUUGCAUUUACUCCUGGGGAAAAAUUGUUUAUUAAUGAGAAAACUUUCUAAUGUGCAAUUUUCAUGAUUAUACACAGUCAAGUCUCGUUCUCCUUGGUAGUUAUGUUCUAUAAAGCCUGUGUGAAUGCUGAAUGACUAGAUACGGAAUCAUUGCCACUAGACGAAAUACAGGAUUAGGUUCCUGGGAGCCUCUGGUCAGCAAUCAAUACAUAACCUUGCUUCAUGUGAGGUUUAUUAUUCACCUUAUUUAAUAGAAAUUGUUGACUCACUGACAUUAAACUUCCAGCCAAAAGCACUAUAACUCUUCUGAAUGAAGCCUAUCUAAACACAAUGCACAUCACAGUCAGCUUGUGCUUAAGAACGCCAGACAGCACUUCAGGGCUAUGCUCAAGGACCAUUUUGAACAGCGAAAUCACCACAGAAAGCACAAAAAUGCAAAAAGCACGGCAUUAAGUAGACCGAGCAAAGGAUCCUUAUAUAUCACAUGAGAGCUGAAACAAGAAGUCAGAGUGACGCCUUAUCAGAUCUCAGCAUAGAACAUGUAUGUUGAGUGAUAUAAAGUUUUCACCCUUGUGCUGAUCUGUGAAUGAUCGUGAACAUACUACAAGUAUUGAUUUGGGGGUUAAAAUACAUUUUAGUGAUUAGGCAAAUCUGCAAGUAUAGAACUCACAAAUAAUGUGGAUCAACUGUACGUCUAAAGUUAUGAUUUCCAAAAAGUAAAUUUCAGGGACAUUGUUUUCAUAUUAUCUAUUCGGCUUAGAACAGAUUGAGGCUGGCAGAGCAAGCAAGCUGAUCUGAGGAAAGGAGAUAUUGUAUCAUUUCUUUGGAAUUCUGAGAAGUUGAAAUAUCUGCAGUAUGUUUCUACAGAGUACAUAUUAAAACAACGCCUAUCAUUAAAGUGAGAGCUAGAAAGGGAGGAACUACAGAAGAAACCAGAAUAGCAAGAUGUCUAUUCCUUUUGGCACCUACUUUCCUUUCGUCAUCCUUGACCCUCAGUAGAUUCUUGUUUUAACUACUGCAGUUAAGUCUUAGCUGUAUACUGGGGAAUAAAGAAACGAUUCUCUUCUUUGUCUUCUCCCUGGAGGUUCUAUGCUUCAUUUCUUAUUAAGGAAAGCGGCAACUUUCUUCCAGUAAUAUUUCUGAAUUCACUGGAAAAAAAUUAUGGCUGCACAAACAAAAUCUUACCCAGUGGUUCUUUCUCAAAGUCGAUUCUGAUGGUCCCAGCAAUUGCGUAUGCUAUUACUAAGGGGGGAGAAGCUAAAUAGUUGGCCCGGGUGUUGGGGUGCACUCGACCUUCAAAAUUCCUGUUCCCAGAUAGUACUCCAACAGCUACAAGGUCUCCCUGUGUAAGGCAAGAGAAAAAUCAGGUCAUUAAGAGAGACUCACUAGGCUUAUUGUCUCAGACCAUUUGCAAGAGUUUCCACAUCGCAAGGAUAGUCCUUUAAGUUGCCCUUUCACUUGGUUCUCUCCCACUAGAGGGGAAAAGGGUACAUCGGGUGUCCCUGUGGGAGAUACUCUGGGUCAAAGGAAGCAGAGACAUGUUUAGUGAUUUCUGCUCACGAGAAAAUAUCAGGUAGUUAGAAGGCAACAUACUAGUUAUUGCUGUCUGGGGCCCAAGAACAGGUGGGAAAGACCUAACAGUUGAUAGCUAAAGGAAGUCACAAUGACUUACAUAGAUUCUAUAAUCAAUGCAAAGCAAACCAAAUAAUAUUUUUCAAGGUUCAGCAUUUUUGGGACAAAAAUCAAGCCAAAACAAUUUAGUUUAGAUUCAUUCAUUUGUGUGGAGACUUGUCUCACUUUGAACCAAUUUUCAAAUUAUCCAGGUUGGUGCAAAAGUAAUUGUGGUCUUCAUCACUGAAAUGGCAAAAUCACAGUUACUGUUGCACUAACUCAACACCUAUAACGAACAGCUGUAGAGCUCUUUGUAGUCAAAACCAGCAAGUACUGAGCACUUACUGGAGUGCCAGACACUGCACUAAGUGACUUAUGUUUAUCAUCAUCUUAAUUCUCACAACUCUAUAAAACAGAUACCAUUAUCAGAUCCAAUAUACAGUUGUGAAAACCCAGGCACAGAUAGGCUAAUCAACUUGCCCAAGGUUACCCAGCUAGUAAUUUUAGCUAAACUCAAAAGACCAUACCCUAAACCACAUCCCCUGCUUCCAUGGACCUUCUUGAAAAUACCAGCAUUUUUGUCAAAUUACAUGAAAAGAAACAACUGCUCUGAAGACCUACAGGCACCUCUGCAAUUACCUGUGUGAUGGCUUCUACCACAGGUUCAGGUAAAGGCCCACUGUUGCCAAUGCAGGUCAUGCAGCCAUAGCCCACCACGUCAAACCUAGGCACCAAGAGAGAAGCACAAAAAAAAAAGAACAACUUUCAGUGAGCCUUUCUGCUGGCCACAGUUUCCAGAGACCACUGUUCAAAAAGGAAUUGCAGUGCAUGAACUAAGUUCAGUAUAGUGCUAUUUCUAAAAGUUUCAUUCUUGAGAGCAUUCUGAUAUAUCAUACAGCAUAAGAAUACUAUUCAUAUUUUUUACUUAUAAAAAGGAAUCAAAUUGAAUAAACAACAAUUUUAAAAGUUGAAAUCAUAUAUGCCAUUUAAUAUCUUCAUUAAGUACUGUUAUUAUAUAAUCCCAAGGAGAUUUGAAUUUUAUGAGGCACAUGAAUAAAAUGUAAGGAAUAAUAUGGAAAUUGGAGAAAGCGUAUUUGGCAAUGAAUACGUUCAUGCACUGCACAAUGAUGUUUCAGUUAGUGACAGACCACAUAUACACACCGGAGCUGACAAAUUCCUAUCACCUAGUGAUGCUGUAGCCAUCGUGAUGUCACAGCGCAAGGCAUUUCUUGUUUAUGAUGAUGCUGCUAUAAACAAACUCAUGCUGAUGUUUUAUAGUUCUUUUACAGUGUACUCUUUUAAAAAAACAAAAAACAAAAAAAAACCAGUUAAGUGUAAAACAGCCUCAGGAAGGUUCUUCAGGAAGUAUUCCAGAAGGCAUUAUUAUCAUAGGAGAUGACAGCUCCAUGGAUGCUAUUGCCCCUGAAGACCUUCCAGUGGGACAGAUGUGGAGGUAGAAGACAGUAAUACUGACAAUCCUGACCCGGCGUAGGCCUGAAGUG